rnacentral:rRNA from 1 species
UAGGGAAUCUUCGGCAAUGGGGGGAACCCUGACCGAGCAACGCCGCGUGAGUGAAGAAGGUUUUCGGAUCGUAAAGCUCUGUUGUUAAGGAAGAACGAGUGUGAGAAUGGAAAGUUCAUACUGUGACGGUACUUAACCAGAAAGGGACGGCUAACUACGUGCCAGCAGCCGCGGUAAUACGUAGGUCCCGAGCGUUGUCCGGAUUUAUUGGGCGUAAAGCGAGCGCAGGCGGUUAGAUAAGUCUGAAGUUAAAGGCAAUGGCUCAACCAUUGUAGGCUUUGGAAACUGUUUAACUUGAGUGCAGAAGGGGAGAGUGGAAUUCCAUGUGUAGCGGUGAAAUGCGUAGAUAUAUGGAGGAACGCCGGUGGCGAAAGCGGCUCUCUGGUCUGUAACUGACGCUGAGGCUCGAAAGCGUGGGGAGCGAACAGG